rnacentral:rRNA from 1 species
CAGCAGCCGCGGGAAUACGAAGGGGGCUAGCGUUGCUCGGAAUGACUGGGCGUAAAGGGCGCGUAGGCUGCUUUGUAAGUCAGAGGUGAAAGCCCGGCGCUCAACCCCGGAUGUGCCUUUGAGACUGCAGAGCUAGAACGUCGGAGAGGUGAGUGGAAUUCCGAGUGUAGAGGUGAAAUUCGUAGAUAUUCGGAAGAACACCAGUGGCGAAGGCGGCUCACUGGACGACUGUUGACGCUGAGGUGCGAAAGCGUGGGGAGCAAACAGGAUUAGAUACCCGAGUAGUCCCUGUCUCUUAUAC